AACGAACGCUGGCGGCAUGCCUAACACAUGCAAGUCGAACGAGACCUCCGGGUCUAGUGGCGCACGGGUGCGUAACGCGUGGGAACCUGCCCUUAGGUUCGGAAUAACUCCCCGAAAGGGGUGCUAAUACCGGAUAAUGUCUUCGGACCAAAGAUUUAUCGCCUUUGGAUGGGCCCGCGUUGGAUUAGCUAGUUGGUAGGGUAAAAGCCUACCAAGGCGACGAUCCAUAGCUGGUCUGAGAGGAUGAUCAGCCACACUGGGACUGAGACACGGCCCAGACUCCUACGGGAAGCAGCAGUGGGGAAUAUUGGACAAUGGGCGAAAGCCUGAUCCAGCAAUGCCGCGUGAGUGAUGAAGGCCUUAGGGUUGUAAAGCUCUUUUACCCGGGAUGAUAAUAACAGUACCGGGAGAAUAAGCUCCGGCUAACUCCGUG
rnacentral:rRNA from 1 species